GACGAACGCUGGCGGCGUGCCUAAUACAUGCAAGUAGAACGCAGUUACGAACGGGUGAGUAACGCGGAGGUAACUGCCUCAUAGCAGCGGAUAACGAUUGGAAACGAUAGCUAAUACCGCAUACUGCGGGAUGGACCUGCGUUGGAUUAGGCAGUUGGUGAGGUAAAGGGUCACCAAGGCGCAGAUACAUAGCCGGCCUGAUAGGGUGGUCGGGCACACUGGGAAUGGGGACCGGCCCCGACGCCUACGGGAGGAACAGGAGGGAAUCUUCCGGAAUGGACGGAAAUCUGACCCAGCAACGCCCGCGGAGUGAAGGAGGUUUUCGGAUCGUAAAGCUCCGGUGUUAGAGGAGCGGUAACUAACCAGAAAGGGACGGCUAACUACGUGCCAGCAGCCGCGGUAAUAC
rnacentral:rRNA from 1 species